AGUGGCGCACGGGUGCGUAACACGUAUGCAACCUACCUAUAACUGGGGGAUAGCCUCCCGAAAGGGAGAUUAACACCGCAUAACAAUAUGAAGUGGCAUCAUUUUAUAUUUAAAUCUACGGAGGUUAUAGAUGGGCAUGCGUCCGAUUAGCUAGUUGGUGAGGUAACGGCUCACCAAGGCUCCGAUCGGUAGGGGGUCUGAGAGGAUGAUCCCCCACACUGGUACUGAGACACGGACCAGACUCCUACGGGAGGCAGCAGUAAGGAAUAUUGGACAAUGGGCGCAAGCCUGAUCCAGCCAUGCCGCGUGAAGGAUGAAGGCCCUAUGGGUCGUAAACUUCUUUUAUACGGGACAAAACCCCCCGAUGCGUCGGGGGUUGAUGGUACUGUAAGAAUAAGGGUCGGCUAACUUCGUGCCAGCAGCCGCGGUAAUACGAAGGACCCGAGCGUUAUCCGGAUUUAUUGGGUUUAAAGGGUGCGUAGGCGGAUUAGUAAGUCAGUGGUGAAAGCCCAUCGCUUAACGGUGGAAUUGCCAUUGAUACUGCUAGUCUUGAGUAUGGUUGAGGUGGGCGGAAUGUGUCAUGUAGCGGUGAAAUGCUUAGAUAUGACCCAGAACACCAAUUGCGAAGGCAGCUCGCUAAACCAUAACUGACGCUGAUGCACGAAAGCGUGGGGAGCAAACAGGAUUAGAUACCCUGGUAGUCCACGCCCU
rnacentral:rRNA from 1 species